UACGUAGGGACCAAGCGUUGUUCGGAUUUACUGGGCGUAAAGGGCGCGUAGGCGGCGUGUCAAGUCAAUUGUGAAAUCUCAGGGCUUAACCCUGAACGGUCAAUUGAUACUGAUGUGCUAGAGUGCAGAAGGGGCAAUCGGAAUUCUUGGUGUAGCGGUGAAAUUCGUAGAUAUCGGGAGGAACACCAGUGGCGAAGGCGGCGGCCUGGACCGAUACUGACGCUGAGGUGCGAAAGCGUGGGGAGCAAACAGG
rnacentral:rRNA from 1 species